GCCUAGCCGUAAACUUUUAUUUACACUCCUUUUCGCCAGGGAACUACGAGCAAAGCUUAAAACCCAAAGGACUUGACGGUACCCCAUAUCCACCUAGAGGAGCCUGUCCUAUAAUCGAUAACCCCCGCUUCACCUCACCAUUUUUAGCUCAUCAGCCUGUAUACCUCCGUCGUCAGCUUACCUCGUGAGCGCUAUCUAGUGAGCCCAAUGCCCAUACACCAAUACGUCAGGUCAAGGUGCAGCAUAUGAAAUGGAAAGAGAUGGGCUACACUGUCUAUUUUAGACAAUACGAAAGACUAUUUAUGAAAUCUAGUCAGAAGGCGGAUUUAGAAGUAAAAAAAGACCAUUGUGCUUUCUUUAACCCGGCACUGGGGUGUGUACACACCGCCCGUCACCCUCUUCAAAGCUCCUAUGUAGUUUAUAACACACCUAUCAAAUUAGAAGAGGCAAGUCGUAACAAGGUAAGUAUACCGGAAGGUGUGCUUGGAAA
rnacentral:rRNA from 1 species